ACUAAGAAAUCUGCUUUUCUUGGAUAUUGUAUUUGAAGACAGACAAAUGGUACCCUAGUUAGCUUUGGAUUCAUAAAAGUGAUGUCAAGUUUCUGUCGCAAACUAGUUCGGAAAAAGUAUGUGGAUCCCUCCAGUAUCACAGACACCAAGUUAUCCAGAUGUUUGACCACAUUAGAUUUAACUGCCCUAGGGAUAGGGAGUACCCUGGGAGCUGGGAUCUAUGUUGUGGCUGGUCAGGUAGCCAAAGACACAGCGGGCCCAGCUGUCAUCCUGUCCUUCCUUAUAGCAGCUUUAGCCUCGGUGUUAGCAGGUCUAUGCUAUGCCGAGUUUGGAGCCAGGGUCCCUAAGACAGGGUCAGCCUAUGUGUACAGUUACGUCACAGUCGGAGAGUUCAUGGCCUUUGUCAUUGGGUGGAACCUUAUCCUGGAGUAUGUGAUAGGGACGGCUAGCGUAGCUCGAGCAUGGAGCUCGUACUUUGAUUCACUGAUCCAUAAAUCCAUCCAAACCUUCUUCAGGGACAACAUGCCCAUGAGCAUUGGGGGUCUAUCUCCUUAUCCAGAUUUCUUUGCUUUUGGCAUCACCCUCCUACUCACAUGUAUACUAACUUUAGGAGUGAAAGAAUCCUCAAGGUUUAACAACAUUUUCACAGGAGUGAACCUUCUGGUGGUGUUGUAUGUUGUCAUUUGUGGAUUCAUUAAGGCAGACCUGAGUAAUUGGUCUCUACCUAAACCUCCGCUGAACUCUACAACUGACAAAGCAGGAGAUGGUGGAUUUCUCCCAUUUGGUUUUUCGGGAGUGAUGUCGGGAGCAGCUACUUGUUUCUAUGCUUUUGUGGGAUUUGACUGUAUCGCUACUACAGGUGAAGAAGUCAAGAACCCACAGAAAGCCAUCCCCAUCAGCAUUGUCCUGUCUCUAUUUGGGUGUUUCCUGGCCUACUUUGGAGUAUCGGCAGCCAUUACUCUGAUGAGUCCGUACUACCUCCUAGACCAUGAUGCUCCUCUCCCCGAGGUCUUCUCUAAAGUGGGCUGGGACGUGGCUCGAUAUAUCAUAGCUGUGGGGGCAGUGUGUGGUCUCUCCACCAGUCUCCUUGGUGCCAUGUUUCCAUUGCCCCGAGUCAUCUAUGCAAUGGCCAGUGAUGGUCUACUCUUUCAGUUUCUUGGCACUGUUAGUGAGAGGUUUAAAACACCUGUGGCAGGCACGCUUCUGUCUGGACUGUUUGCAGGGUUCAUGGCAAUGAUGUUUGACCUUAAAGAGCUAGUGGACAUGAUGUCCAUAGGAACCUUGUUAGCGUAUACUCUUGUAGCUGUUAGUGUUUUAUUGUUAAGGUACAGAGUGAAUUCCUUUAACCAAUACAGGGCAGAUGACCGAGAUUCAUUGAUAUUAAAUGACACCAGUUCAGUCGGAUAUUUACAACAAAUGUUCAACCAUAAACUUCGCACUCCUACUCACCUGUCAGAAACUGUCUCAUUUUGGAAUAUCACCAUUAUAUGUGUGUUGAUCAUUGCCGAGUCUUUAAUACUCAUUUUUCUUGAGGACUUCAUUUCAUCUGGUGUUUGGUGGUCCAUAGCACUAGUUAGUGUUGUUGGUCUCCUCAUAUUCAUUCUUGUUUAUUCAACAUGGCUACAACCCCAAAAUCAGGAUUUAGUCAACUUUAAGGUGCCUCUUCUUCCAAUCCUACCUGUGAUCAGUGUCUUUGUUAAUGUUUAUCUAAUGCUCAAACUGUCAUCUGCCACUUGGAUCAGGUUUGGAGUUUGGAUGUUUUUGGUCUCCACCACAGUGUAGAAUCUCAGCACGACGAACACAUUCCUCUCUCUCCGCGAUCAGACCAAGACGAGAGCAGCGAUGACAAUAUCUUUAGUGAAGAUGAAGAAAGUGACCAUGUUUUAUGGAACAGAAAAUAGAUCUUAGCCCUUUAGAAAUUCCUUCAUAGAAAUUUCAUGCUAUAAUAUCUCUUUCUAUUGAUGGUGCCUUUAAAUGCAGCAAGUGAUUUACAGAGUUAUUUUACAAGAGAUUAUUUUAAUUAUGAAGAGUAUUUUUAUUAGAUUUUUUCUCUGUCAAUUUCCAGGGUUCAUUAUCUACUUUGCCUAUGGAGUUUGGUUCAGUCUCGUAAAUAAAACGCUGCCAAAUUUCACAAUUGUGUACGAAAGAGAGGACGAACAGGUGGAAACACGCCCUCUCCUCAAAUAGAGCAUGCAGUUUUAAAACAAGAAUUUUCUUGAAUAAAUCAAUCAUGUGUGAUUGGAUCAAAGCAGCAAGGUUUAAAAAAAGAAUUCCAUAUAAUUUUAUUAUUUGUUAACUGUGAUAUUAUAUAUUGUCAUUGUUGUAUAAAUGUGAUGAAAGUGAUAUUAAAUGUGGAUGGUGG
rnacentral:misc_RNA from 1 species